rnacentral:siRNA from 1 species
UGAAUGUCCUGGACAGUUGU